CGCGUGGGAACGUGCCCUUCUCUACGGAAUAGCCAUUGGAAACGAUGAGUAAUACCGUAUACGCCCUUUGGGGGAAAGAUUUAUCGGAGAAGGAUCGGCCCGCGUUAGAUUAGAUAGUUGGUGGGGUAACGGCCUACCAAGUCUACGAUCUAUAGCUGGUUUUAGAGGAUGAUCAGCAACACUGGGACUGAGACACGGCCCAGACUCCUACGGGAGGCAGCAGUGGGGAAUCUUAGACAAUGGGCGCAAGCCUGAUCUAGCCAUGCCGCGUGUGUGAUGAAGGCCCUAGGAUCGUAAAGC
rnacentral:rRNA from 1 species